rnacentral:rRNA from 1 species
ACAGGCAAGUCCAACGGCGGNAUGAUCUAACUUGCUAGAUUGAUGGCGAGUGGCGAACGGGUGAGUAAUACAUCGGAACGUGCCCUGUAGUGGGGGAUAACUAGUCGAAAGAUUACCUAAUACCGCAUACGACCUGAGGGUGAAAGUGGGGGACCGCAAGGCCUCAUGCUAUAGGAGCGGCCGAUGUCUGAUUAGCUAGUUGGUGAGGUAAAGGCUCACCAAGGCGACGAUCAGUAGCUGGUCUGAGAGGACGAUCAGCCACACUGGGACUGAGACACGGCCCAGACUCCUACGGGAGGCAGCAGUGGGGAAUUUUGGACAAUGGGGGCAACCCUGAUCCAGCAAUGCCGCGUGUGUGAAGAAGGCCUUCCGGGUUGUAAAGCACUUUUGUCCGGAAAGAAAUCCGCACUUACUAAUAUUAGGUGUGGAUGACGGUACCG